AUCUAUGGCCAUGCCACCCUGAACAUGCGUGAUCUUGGAAGCUAGGGUCGGGCCUGGUUAGUACUUGGAUGGGAGACCACCUAGGAAGACCAGGUGCUAUAGGUG
rnacentral:rRNA from 1 species